UGUCUGAGUACAGACCGAUMUAAGGUGAAACCGCGAAUGGCUCAUUAAAUCAGUCAUAAUUCCUUGGGUAGUGAAAAACUUUCCUCGGAUAACUGUGGAAAAUCCAGAGCUAAUACGUGCAACUGAGCUCCGACCUCGGCGCGAGCCGUGGGAAGAGCGCAUUUAUUAGAAUCAAAACUGACCGGKGUACUCCUUCGGGAUAUGCCGUUUGUCAAAAUGUUUGAUGACUCCGGAUAACUAAGCCGAGCGCUACGGUCUUCGUACCGGCGCCGUAUCUUUCAAGUGUCUGCCUUAUCAGCUUUCGAUUGUAGGUUAAACGCCUACAAUGGCUGUAACGGGUAACGGGGAAUCAGGGUUCGAUUCCGGAGAGGGAGCCUGAGAAACGGCUACCACAUCUAAGGAAGGCAGCAGGCACGCAAAUUACCCACUCCUAGCCCAGGGAGGUAGUGACGAAWAAUAACGAUGCGAGACUCUUCCGAGGCCUCGCAAUCGGAAUGAGUCNAUUAUAAAUNNNUGGACGAGGAUCCAUUGGAGGGCAAGUCUGGUGCCAGCAGCCGCGGUAAUUCCAGCUCCAAUAGCGUAUAUUAAAGUUGCUGCGGUUAAAAAGCUCGUAGUUGGACCUACUAAACCAUUUCGUGGGCGAGUCGCUCUUUGCAUUAGCUUCUCGCGCGGUUCCUCGAUAGAAGACGGUGUUUCGGGCGAUCGGUGUGUGUCUUAUAGACUCGUACUGGGUUGKAUUACUACCGUAUCGUUCGUUGGCCGUGUAGAAAUUGUGCGAACGGCGGGAAGACGUUGUCAUUGGGUAUAGCUCGUCCGCGUUUGGUACAAUUAAAAUUUUGUCGGCUCGCUCGGAGUGCUCUUUACCGAGUGUUCCAGGGUGGCCGACACGUUCACUUUGAAAAAAUUAGAGUGCUUAAAGCGGGCCUAUCAAAGGGCCGGAAUGUCUGUGCAUGGAAUGAAGUAACAGGACCUCGAUUCUGUUAUUUUUGUCGGUUUUAAUGAACCGAGGUAAUGAUUAAAAGGGACAGACGGUGGCAUUAGUAUUGCGGCGCUAGAGGUGAAAUUCUUGGACCGUCKCAAGACUAACUACUGCGAAAGCAUUUGCCGAGAAUGUUUUCAUUAAUCAAGAACGAAAGUUAGAGGAUCGAAGGCGAUCAGAUACCGCCCUAGUUCUAACCCUAAACUAUGCUAACUAGCGAUCCGCCGGAGUCAUUCCCACGACCCGGCGGGAAGCCCCAGGGAAACCAAAGUCUUUGAGUUCCGGGGGAAGUAUGGUUGCAAAGCUGAAACUUAAAGGAAUUGACGGAAGGGCACCACCAGGAGUGGAGCCUGCGGCUUAAUUUGACUCAACACGGGAAACCUCACCAGGSCCGGACAUCAUAAGGAUUGACAGGUUGAGAGCUCUUUCUCGAUUUGAUGGGUGGUGGUGCAUGGCCGUUCUUAGUUGGUGGAGUGAUCUGUCUGGUUGAUUCCGAUAACGAACGAGACUCUACCUUACUAACUAGUCGGCGGAUCUUAAACCUGAGAUGGUUAAGAUAUUGUGCGUCGGAUGGUUUAGCGACGUGGUUCGUGUGUUCGYGAAGCAUUURCGWGSCUAGYGUUCCGCGGGUUGCGAAGCGRCCGUUCGCGCAUUAAUAAUAMUWMUACYGGGGGAGUCCGUCGCAAUAUAUCUUYUUAGAAGGAUCAGCGGCGUAUAGCCGUACGAGAAAGAGCAAUAACAGGUCUGUGAUGCCCUUAGAUGUUCUGGGCCGCACGCGCGCUACAAUGUAAUGRCCAKSGYGCUUUCCCCCUCCGAAAGGAGCGGGUAACCMGUUGAARACACUACCCGAUUGGGAUUGGGGAUUGCAAAUAUUUCCCAUAAACGAGGAAUUCCCAGUAAGCGCGAGUCACCAACUCGCGCUGAUUACGUCCCUGCCCUUUGUACACACCGCCCGUCGCUACUACCGAUUGAAUGAUUCAGUGAGGGCAUCGGACUGGCGCCUUCGGUUUUGAAACAUAGACCUUAGGCUGACGGAAAGAUGUCCGAACUCGAUCAUUUAGAG
rnacentral:rRNA from 1 species